rnacentral:rRNA from 1 species
AACGAACGCUGGCGGCAUGCCUAAUACAUGCAAGUCGAACGAACACUUCGGUGUUAGUGGCGCACGGGUGCGUAACGCGUGGGAAUCUGCCCUUGGGUUCGGAAUAACAGUUGGAAACGACUGCUAAUACCGGAUGAUGACGAAAGUCCAAAGAUUUAUCGCCCAGGGAUGAGCCCGCGUAGGAUUAGCUAGUUGGUGAGGUAAAGGCUCACCAAGGCGACGAUCCUUAGCUGGUCUGAGAGGAUGAUCAGCCACACUGGGACUGAGACACGGCCCAGACUCCUACGGGAGGCAGCAGUAGGGAAUAUUGGACAAUGGGCGCAAGCCUGAUCCAGCAAUGCCGCGUGAGUGAUGAAGGCCUUAGGGUUGUAAAGCUCUUUUACCAGGGAAGAUAAUGACUGUACCGGGAGAAUAAGCCCCGGCUAACUCCGUGCCAGCAGCCGCGGUAAUACGGAGGGGGCUAGCGUUGUUCGGAAUUACUGGGCGUAAAGCGCACGUAGGCGGCUUUGUAAGUUAGAGGUGAAAGCCCGGGGCUCAACCCCGGAAUUGCCUUUAAGACUGCAUCGCUUGAACGUCGGAGAGGUGAGUGGAAUUCCGAGUGUAGAGGUGAAAUUCGUAGAUAUUCGGAAGAACACCAGUGGCGAAGGCGGCUCACUGGACGACUGUUCACGCUGAGGUGCGAAAGCGGAGCAAACAGGAUUAGAUACCCUGGUAGUCCACGCCGUAACUAUGAUAACUAGCUGUCUGGGCUCUUGGAGCUUAGGUGGCGCAGCUAACGCAAUAAGUUAUCCGCCUGGGGAGUACGGUCGCAAGGUUUU